rnacentral:tRNA from 1 species
GUUCCUGUAGUUGAGGACAACAACGGCUUUUCAAGCCGUAGGCCUCGGAUAGUAGCCGAGCAGGAAUAA